GGAUGCGAUCAUACCAGCACUAAAGCAUCGGAUCCCAUCAGAACUCCGAAGUUAAGCGUGCUUGGGCGAGAGUAGUACUAGGAUGGGUGACUUCCUGGGAAGUCUUUGUGUUGCAUCCC
rnacentral:rRNA from 1 species